UACAGAGGUCUCAAGCGUUGUUCGGAGUUACUGGGCGUAAAGAGUGCGUAGGCGGUUUUCUAAGUUUGGUGUGAAAUCUCCCGGCUCAACUGGGAGGGUGCGCCGAAGACUGGAAGGCUUGAGUAUGGGAGAGGUAAGCGGAAUUCCUGGUGUAGCGGUGAAAUGCGUAGAUAUCAGGAGGAACACCUGCGGUGUAGACGGCUUACUGGACCAUAACUGACGCUGAGGCACGAAAGCGUGGGUAGCAAACAGG
rnacentral:rRNA from 1 species